rnacentral:misc_RNA from 1 species
GAUGAAGAACGCAGCGAAAUGCGAUAAGUAAUGUGAAUUGCAGAAUUCAGUGAAUCAUCGAAUCUUUGAACGCACAUUGCGCCCGCCAGUAUUCUGGCGGGCAUGCCUGUUCGAGCGUCAUUACAACCCUCAGGCCCCCGGGCCUGGCGUUGGGGAUCGGCGAGGCGCCCCCCGCGGGCACGCGCCGUCCCCCAAAUACAGUGGCGGUCCCGCCGCAGCUUCCAUUGCGUAGUAGCUAACACCUCGCAACUGGAGAGCGGCGCGGCCAUGCCGUAAAACACCCAACUUCUGAAUGUUGACCUCGAAUCAGGUAGGAAUACCCGCUGAACUUAAGCAUAUCAAUAGCGGAGGA